rnacentral:rRNA from 1 species
CAAUAGCGUAUAUUAAAGUUGUUGCAGUUAAAAGGCUCGUAGUUGGAUUUCGGGGCAGCCUGGCUGGUCCGCCGCAAGGCGAGUACUGGUCAGCCGCCCUUCCUCUCGAAAGCCCCGACUGCUCUUUAUUGCAGUGGUCGGGUAGUUCGGGACGUUUACUUUGAAAAAAUUAGAGUGUUCAAGGCAGGCCUACGCCUGAAUACAUUAGCAUGGAAUAAUGGAAGAGGACCUCGGUCCUAUUUUGUUGGUUUCCAGGACCGAAGUAAUGAUUAAGAGGGACAGUUGGGGGCAUUCGUAUUUAAUUGUCAGAGGUGAAAUUCUCGGAUUUAUGAAAGACGAACAACUGCGAAAGCAUUUGCCAAGGAUGUUUUCAUUAA